AGUGACCGCUGGCGGCGUGCCUAAUACAUGCAAGUCGAACGAAGUGGCACACGGGUGAGUAAUAUAUAGUUAAUCUGCUGUACACAGCAGAACAACCGUUGGUAACGGCUUCUAAUACCUCAUAGUGUAGGAUUAGACUAUAUCGUAUCAGCUCGUUGGUAAGGUAAUGGCUUACCAAGGCUAUGACGCGUAACUGGUCUGAGAGGAUGAUCAGUCACAUUGGAACUGAGACACGGUCCGAAAUCCUACGGCAAGGAGCAGUAAGGAAUAUUGCGCAAUGGGGGAAACCCUGAAGCAGCAACGCCGCGUGGAGGAUGACACUUUGCGAAGCGUAAACUCCUUUGAUCAGGAAAGCGGUACCUAAUGAAUAAGCACCGGCUAACUCCGUGCCAGCAGCCGCGGUAAUUC
rnacentral:rRNA from 1 species